CGAGUCGAGAGGUGCAAGACCUCGGCAUACUGCUCAGUAACACGUGGACAACCUACCCUGGAGGAGGGGGAUAACCCCGGAAAACUGGGGAUAAUACCCCAUAGGCCAGGGAUGCUGGAAUGCCUCCUGGUUGAAAGGUCCGCCGCCUCAGGAUGGGUCUGCGGCCGAUUAGGUUGUUGUUGGGGUAACGGCCCAACAAGCCAUUGAUCGGUACGGGUUGUGGGAGCAAGAGCCCGGAGAUGGAUUCUGAGACACGAAUCCAGGCCCUACGGGGCGCAGCAGGCGCGAAAACUUUACAAUGCGAGAAAUCGUGAUAAGGGAACCCCGAGUGCCCGUAAAUUCGGGCUGUCCAUCAGUGUAAAUAACUGGUGAAGAAAGGGCCGGGCAAGACCGGUGCCAGCCGCCGCGGUAAUACCGGCGGCUCGAGUGGUGGCCGCUAUUAUUGGGCUUAAAGCGUCCGUAGCUGGGUUGUUAAGUCUCCUGGGAAAUCCACCGGCUCAACCGGUGGGCGUUCGGGAGAAACUGGCAACCUAGGGACCGGGAGAGGUGAGAGGUACUCCAGGGGUAGGAGUGAAAUCCUGUAAUCCUUGGGGGACCACCUGUGGCGAAGGCGUCUCACUAGAACGGCUCC
rnacentral:rRNA from 1 species